GCUUCCUUCCCUUCCUGUGCAGGUGGUGGUGCCCUCUGCGCCUUCACUGGGGCCCAGCCAAGUAACUGAAUCCAGCCAGGAGCAAGGGCAGACGCUGGCACAGGUCCUGCCACUGUCCCCAACCUGGGUUUCAACACAGCUGAGGCCUGGCAUAGUCUUUCUGGGCGCCUCUGGCUGGCUCGGUCUGAAAGGCGCGGCCAGGUCACAGUCGGCACCAGAAGUUUGGCAGAUCUCAGUGAGGCGUUAGUUUGCAUUUCCUUGUGACGGGUGAGUUGAACACCCUUUCAUGAGUGUAUUGAUCACUGUGUACCUUCUUUGUUGAAAUGUCGUCAGUAUUUAAAGUCACAAAUCUUCCUCUAAGACUAUGCUACAAUUUUUGUGUAAUAUUUUGAUGGAUAUUUGAAAUAAGUGCUAAUUUUCUUUGGAUUUCUUCUUUGACCCAUGCUUUAUUUAGAAGAAUCUCUUUAUGUGUGUAUUUAUUUUUUAAACCCUCUAUUCUGAGAAGCAUAUUUAGAAGAGUAUUGCCCACUUUCCAAAUAUGUGGAGAGUCUAAAAGGAAUCUUGCUAUUACUGAUUUAAUUCCAUUUUGAUCAAGGAACAAACUGCAGGAUCUCACUUUUUAAAAUUACAGAGACUUAUUCUUACUGUUUAACAUAAGCCCUAUCUUUGUAAAUGCUCCGUAUACACUCAAAAAUUACUUGUGUUCUGCAGCUGUGGGGUGGGAUGCUCGCCAAGAGUUAAUGAGGUGCAGCUGGUUGACAGUGCUCUUUAAACCGGCGAAUCCUUCCUGUCCCACCCGCUGUGCUUGCAGUCCCGAGAGAGCUGUUACAUCUCCAACUAGGACAGUGAAUUUCUCUAUUCUUUCAGUUCCGUCCGUUUUUACUUCGUGUUUUUUGAAACUGUUAUUAUCUUUUUAGGCAUUUAGGAUUUUUCUGUGAUCCUGACAGUGGCUGACCAUGGUGUCAUCAUGGAAUGUCCCUCUUUAUCUUCAGGGGUGCUACCUGGUCUAAUGUGAGUGUUCCAGGGCUAUUUUCUUAUGCACAGAAUUGGCACUGUGUAUCUUUUCCUUUUUCUAUUCUUUUUUCUUUUUUUUUUCUUUUUCAGACAGAGUCUUGCUCCAUUGCCCAAGCUGGAGUGCAGUGGCGCGAUCUUGGCUCGCUGCAAGCUCCACCUCUCGGGUUCACGCCAUUCUCCUGCCUUAGCCUCCCGAGUAGCUGGGACCACAGGCACCCGCCACCACGCCUGGCUAAUUUUUUUGUAUUUUUUUUAGUAGAGACGGGGUUUCACCGUGUUAGCCAGGAUGGUCUUUAUAUCCUGACGUUGUGAUCCUGCCCACCUUGGCCUCCCAAAGUGCUGGGAUUACAGGCAUGAGCCACCGUGCCUGGCCACUUUUUUCCUUUUUUUUUUUUUUUUUGAGACAGGGUCUCACUCUGUUGCCCGGGCUGGAGUGCAGUGGUGCCAUCUUGGCUCACCACAGCCUCGACCUCCUGGGCUCAAGUGAUCCUUCCACCUCAGCCUCCAGAGUAGCUGAGACCACAGGUGUGCACCACCACACCAGGCUAAUUUUUUUUUUGUAUUUUUCAAACUCCUUUUUUUUUUUUUUGAGAUGGAGUUUCACUCUUGUUGCCCAGGCUGGAGUGCAGUGGCGCGAUCUUGGCUCGCUGCAACCUCUGCCUCCUGGGUUCAGGCAAUUCUCCUGCCUCAGCCUCUCCAGUAGCUGGGAUUACAGGCACAAACCACCAUGCCUGGCUAAUUUUUUUCGUAUUUUUAGUAGAGACAGGGUUUCACCGUGUUGGCCAGGCUGGUCUGGAACUCUUGACCUCAGGUGAUCUGCCUGCCUCAGCCUCCCAAAGUGCUUGGAUUACAGGUCAAACUCUAAGACUCAAGUGAUCCUCACUCUUGUGCCUACCACAAUGCUGGGACCACUCCUGGACCACUGUGGAUCUUUUUCUAUCCUUUAGACACCCAACCUGUCUUUGUAUCUUACGUGGGUGUCUGUAGAUGGAGUUGGGUCUUGGUGACAAUCCCUGCUUUGCACAUGGAGUUUCUCCAUUUGCAAUUCCAGUAAUGAUUGAUGAGGUUGCUGUAGAUCCCCCAUCUUGCUACUUGUUUUCUAAGUGUCUUAUCUUGUCAUUUGUUUUUUAUUUGUCAUUUUUUUGUUCCUUUGUUCCUCCAUUCCUGCCUUUUUUGGGUUAAUUGAAAUUUUUUAGUACUUCGUUUUACACCUCUGUUGGUCUUUUAGCUGUGCCUCUUGGUAUUACCAUUUUUAGUAGUUACCCUAAAGACAACAAAAUGAAUCCUUAAUUUAUCAGCCUAUUCACCUCACACAAAAUGUGGGAAACUUGUAACGGUGUAAUUCCUCUAACCCUGUUCUUCCUGUUACAGUUGCCAUAUGUUUAACCUCUACCUACAUUACAAACUCCGUAACACAAUGCUACUUUUGCUUUAGACAAUCUUUUGAAUAAAUUAAAGUUAACUUUUUAAGAAAUUAACUGUCAGUUGGGUGUGGUGGCUCAUGUUUGUGAUGCCCAAAUUUUAGGAGGCAGAGGCAGGAGGAUUGCUUGAACUUAGGAGUUCGAGACUGCUUUCGGAAACACAGUGAUACCUCGUCUAUUAAAAAGAAAGCAAACUAGCCGAGCAUGGUGGUGUGCACCUGUAGUUUCAGCUGCUCGGGAGGCUGAGGCAGGGGGAUCCCUGGAGCCCAGGAGGUUGAGGCCGCUGUGAGCCAUGGUCACUUUCCUCCCCAUCUCCCCUGUCCGGCAUCCACACAGCUCCUUCUCUGUUGUCCCAGGCCAACCCCAGCCCUGGUGCUAUGCCCUCCUCUCACUGCGCCCUUGUUUCCCCGAGCUCUGCCUCCUAUGGUGGCAGAGUGGGAGGGGGAGGGUGGGAAGCAUGGCUCACAGUUGGCUCCAUCACAGUGGCCCUGUAUUUGUCCAGUUUCACAGCCAUUUGCUGGAGGAACGCAGGUCCAGCACUGGCUACCCUGUCACGGCAGGGGUGACCUCUUACCAGCCUAGCAGCCCAGAGGCGCCCCAGGUGGGGAGGUGGCAGGUGGACACCGGGUCCCGUGUGUUGUGGCAGUGAAGCCUGCAGCCCACCAGAGCUCCAACAGCAGAGAAACAGGCUGUGAGUGUAAGCGUGGAAUUGCUGUGAGCCAUGGCGCCAGCAGCAUGUGCUGCAGAGACAGCUAAUCAAUUAGCCCCUCCGUGCUGGGUGCUGUGUGUGCACCAUUAAAGAGCUCACGGGGAGAGAAAUGCAGACUCCUCUGGGGGCCCCAGGGUGGAUUGCACCACUCAGCAUGUUCUAUUGAGUGCCUUUCCCUGCAGUGCGUGCUUUCUGAGGCUGUAAUUUUGAGUGUGUCUUUCAAGGCUGCAGCCCUUAAGCAGUACAGCCUGGGUGUUCAGCUGGAUAAUCCUGUAAGUGAAGUUUGAGUGGUUUAACUGCCUACAGCAGGUGGGAGCUCGGGUGGUGGGGAGCAUCUGGGGUUUCGAGGAGUCUGAGCCUCUGUGCAGGGCUGCAGGCUGUGGACGGGUUACGCGGGUGCUGGUCUUUAACGAGAGGACCUUCAGAGAGAUGCAACAAAACCCCAUGUGAGGCAGAAAUGAAGCCUCCGAGUUGUAUUGGAAGAGCUGCUGUCCGUGCAGCCACCACCCCCCUAAAUACUCUGUGAGGGUCCUGGCUCCAGUCCAUCUGUCUAUCAUCUUGGGAGCAGCCCAUGCCAGCCACGUUGUCCUCCAGGCUUCUCUGCACAGACCUGGCUGCUGCGGGGUGCAGGGCAUGUUGUUUGCACGUGUGCACUCCACCUCUCUUUCACAUGCGCGUUCUCUGUAACACUCAGGACAACCCCGUGAACUAGAAGUCAGGUCCCUUGUUGAACUGGAGUUGGCCUGAGAAAGAUCUUGGAGGAUUAAGGCAGAGCUUUGCUCUGGGUCUGCCUCCAGGAAGGUGCCUGAGUCUCCACAGGGGCUGUGCCACAGAAGCCCCCCACAGCUUUUGGAACCCCAGAGCCCUUCACUGCACAUUCGCCCUGUAGCCUCAGUCUCCAGGGACCUGGGAAAGCCCCAGCGUCAGCUUUUAUGUUCUUCUGCAUCACCGUGUCCUCUGCCUCGCUAUGAAUGAGUUUGUCAGGCCUCCUCCUUGGGGAGUGCGGUGGGGGCAGGUGGCAGACCUCGGGGCCAACAGAGAGUCAUUAAGUAAUCUCAUAGUGAACGUGGCCUGGAGUCUUGUUUUUCAGAUGGAAAAGGGAAAAUUGGGCAAAGUUUGUAGGAGAAAAAUACCAAGUUUUGUGGUGGUUGUGUUGAUGGAGGGGGUUGAGCUGAAUCUGAGAAGCAAGUACAUUUGAGGCUUGGCUGCCACACUCACGGACACUGCAGAGAAUGAGGAAAAAUGGCUGGUUGUGUUUUCUUUCCACUGCACAAAAGAAUAAUUGCUUUUGUUUACAGAUUUUCUGAAAUGUCCUUCCAAUUCCUUUGCCCCUGAAUUAUGAGCUGUGCCAGCUUGCGUGCAACAAAUGGGUCUUAUUGAGCACAAAUACAUGGGUGCAGAGCGUCUUUCGAAGAGGAGGCAUCAGGGAGCCUCCUCCGGUCUCCACAGCCCCUGACAGGAGGCUGCUUCUCGGGAUCCAGACCUGCCUGGGCUGCUUCAGUGGCCUCCCUGCCCUUCCCGGUGCGGCAGAUCUGUGCCCACAGCAACGCAUCCCCCGCACCUGCACCACCGCUCUUCCUGAGGCCCAGUGUUGAUCUCUUUGUGGCCCCAGUGAGGACAUUUUUGAGGCUUCAUGAUCUCUGUAGGAUGCUGUCCAGGCCCAUGCACACAGCAGGUGCAUCCGUGAGGCACACCUCAUAUCUUAGCACUGCUGUGCUGUGAUGCAAGUCCUCAGGGAGCUCGGCUCCACACUGUCACUCAGGGAUCCAGCAGCCCCUUCCACCUGUGGCGCUGCCGUCCUCUGGUUUGGCGUCCUCUCCGUUCAGUACACGGCCGGGGAGGAAAGUGAGGAGGCUGUUGCGAGGGUCUUAUGAGCCAGGGCCAGGAGUGGACUGCAUCACCCCUGCCCAAGUUUCUUGGCUAGAACUAGCUGUUUGGCCAAGGCAAACCCCUGAAGUGAAGGAUGCAGGCAGGGCCCACCUCUCUCUCUCUCUCUCUCUCUGCCAUUUGCCCCUCACCCCCACCCACCAGACCACCCGCGCCCCCCAAGGAGGCUGCCUCAAUGCCCUUCAGUAACCCACUUCUGUUGUGCAAAUUCCUCUCCAACAUUUCCUCUUCAGAGCGACUGCCCGAGAAAACUGGAUAAUCGCGCCUUUCCCUGUGUUUCUGUGGUUCUUUUAUAAUCCUGGUUUUAAAAUCUAAAAUAGUGCAUGCUGGUAUUUGCUUUUUAGGGUUGUAGAAGAAGGUUAACAAGGUACCACAAACCGGAUGGCUCAAAACAGCGGAUACUGUCUCACGGUUCUGGAGACCUGAAGUCUGAAACAAAGUGGUGAUGGGGUCGGUUCCCUCCGGAGGCUCUGAGGGGGAUGCAGUGGCUCUGAGGGGGCUGUGGGGGCUCUGAGGGGAGACUGGGGGUGGCUCUGAGGGGGAUGCGUUUCCUGCCUCUCUCCGCCAUGCUGGGGCUCGCUGCAUCUUCGUGCUCCUCUGCUUGUGGAUGCGUCACUCUGGCUCCGUUCUUCUUCACGCGGCAUCCGUCUCCCUGUGUUCUCUGCUUUAUAACGGCACCUGUCAUUGGAUGCAGGGACCGCUCUAAUCCACCAUGAUUCUAUCUGGAGAACCUAAACUUAAUUACAUCAGUAAAGACCCUUUCUCCAUGAGGUCCCACUCGCAGGUUCUCGGGGGACAUGUCUUUUGGGGCCACCAUUCCCCCAGCUCCGAUGCUCCUUUAAGCUCAUUAAGCUUCAUAGAGGGGAUUCAGGUGGGGGUGCCCUCGGUCUCACUCAGUGGGUGUCAGGGGGCGUAUCGCCUGCAGGCCGGCCCUUCUGCCCUCUCAGAGGCAGCCACAGCUCAGGUCAGGCUGGAGGGUGGGGUGGACUUCCUCCCUCCCUCCCCCUCACUGCCC
rnacentral:lncRNA from 1 species